rnacentral:rRNA from 1 species
GUAAUGUCUGGGAAACUGCCUGAUGGAGGGGGAUAACUACUGGAAACGGUAGCUAAUACCGCAUAACGUCGCAAGACCAAGAGGGGACCUUCGGGCCUCUUGCCAUCAGAUGUGCCCAGAUGGGAUUAGCUAGUAGGUGGGGUAACGGCUCACCUAGGCGGCAAUCCCUAGCUGGUCUGAGAGGAUGACCAGCCACACUGGAACUGAGACACGGUCCAGACUCCUACGGGAGGCAGCAUG